GGAAUACUAAUUUCUUCUGUUCACGAUCAAGGCGACCAUGCCACUAGUUCUGUGAAGCUGUCAACGGAGGAUUGACUCAGAUGGAACAUGCCUACACAUCAGUGCACCGUGUGCAACAAGACAUUCAGUGAAAAGUCAGACCUGGCGAGGCAUCUGAAGAUCCAUGCCAUCGCCAGGGAGACCUUUCCCUGUGAUGUCUGCGGGAAGAGCUUGGCCACUAAACCAUCGCUUGUCAGCCAUCAACAGCUACACCAGUACCCCAACAUCAUUUUGUACCGGCAAGGAGAGGCCAGGCUGCACUGGGCAGCAAGGUCUGUGGCAGAGGACCGCAGCAGCACUGUUGUUGACCCUAAAUGGCUGGAUCUCAUGACAGCAGAGGCGGCUGCCAAGAGGUCGGGGGCUGAGCUGUGGAAAGGUCAGCUAGUCAUCACGUUCGGGUAGUACGACGGUCAGACCUUCAGGUGGCUUGUGGAGAAUGAUGUCGGCUGGCUGGUGUGGCUGCUGUUCCAGUACUGCCAGCAGGGAGAGCAGAACGAGCUGCUGAAGUGGCAGAAGGAGCGACUUCUCCUUCUGCCACAAGGUGACUCCUCACCUGAAAGUGCUGUCGGACGCACCGUUCCCGGAGGCUCCUGCGCUGCCAACAUCCCUCCCUCCGCCAGACCGGCCUCAGGUCCAGUACCGGCUCAUCCAUCACGAGGCUGGAAAGAGACGUGUUGAGAAGCGGAGAUUAUUUGUUGAUGUGACUCCCGCGAACCGGCCCGUUCAGCCCACUGGGUUUGUCGUCCUCCACCCGGCCGAGGCCUGCUGUGCCCACCCCCAUUCUGCCGAGGCCUCCUGCGCCCACCCACCUCCAGCCGAGGCCACCUGCUGCGUUGACCUACGGCCCACCCCCUGUGUCGGCAGCACCCAUACUGCUGGUCCUCCCCGCACAGGCCCCCUCCGUCCUGUUUCGUGGGCCAUCCUGCAGCCAGAGCUUUGUCCCUCCUGCACCAACAGUGAAGGCAUUCAUGCCUAACAAGUCCUCAAGGCCAUGUGGGGCUUGCCACGUGCCAAACUGGUGGACAGCGGAAGAGGUACACCCCUUCCAAGGAGAAAGUGGCUGCAUGGAAGCAUGCAGAAAAUGUUUUCCUACUGUCCAUCCACUAGGAAGUCCACUACCCCUGGCUUCGACAAUGUGGUGUAUGACAACUUUAAGGGUGUCGUGGAUGCAGAGUUGGAAAGGAGGACUGUGUGUGUGUGUGUGUGUGUGUGUGUGUGUGUGUGUGUGUGUGUGUGUGUGUGUGUGUGUGUGUGUGUGUGUGUGUGUGUGUGUGUGUGUGUGUGUGUGUGUGUGUGUGAAUAACUUACCUCUGUGAUGCCACUGUUCCUCUGCCAUCUGUAAGAGAGAGAAAGAGGCUUGUUUGUGUGUGUUUGUCUCUGUCUUUGUGUGUGUUAUUAAAGUGCUUCAGCAAGCACUCUCUAUUUAUUUAUAUCGUUAAAAAAAAUGCACUUUGCAGUUUUACUUGAAGUUCUUUGUUAGUCUUUUAUUUAUUAUUUAUAUUGCUGUUAAAAUUAACUUUGUAGUAUCCAUUCUGGUCUAUUUUCAAUAUCGAGGCCAAUCUUUUUAACCUUAAUCAGUUCCAAUCUAACACAAUCAGUUUACAUACUCUUUAGUGGUUGUUCAUGUUCAGAUAAUCUGUGUUUUUGUCAUGAUUGUUGUUUGUCUUUGUCAGCUUCAUGUGUUUGUGAUGUUUGUAUGUAUUUGUCUGCUUCAGUUUUAACAAAAGUUUGCUAAAGAAAACACAAAAAAACACAAAACGGAGGAACAGCUUGAGCCUUUAUUUGUUGAUUUGUCACCUGAGUCUUUGGAUAAUCAUGUUCAUUAUUGCACUUUAGCCUGUACAAGCCAAUUGUUGAGUUGUAUCUUAAGUAUAAGUGUGUGUUCUUCAAUUGUUGAGAUUUUUGGAUUAUUAUUAAUUUUAUUUAUAUGUGCCUGUCCUUGUGAUGUGUGUAUGUCUGUCAGCUCCAUGUUUAACUAAAUGUUUGCAAAUGGUAGUACAUGUUUGUCUCUCAUCUCAUGCUCUUGUGUUCUCGCCUGUAGAUCUGUACCUUGUCGUGGUGGGCGAGCUUUUAACUAAACAGAUCUUGUUUACUUGUGUUUUAUUCAUUGCCUUUUCAAUGAAACGCAUUCUGGGUGAAAAAUAAAAGUUGUAAAAGUAUUUUGGAGUCUCUGUGUGCUUGGCUUUCGCGCGGGGUGGGUUAGUGGAAAGAAAAAACACACCAAAGAAAUUAGUAGUCCUUGUGUCUUCCCUCCCGCAACCAGAGGUGUGAAUACACCCCCACUGUGCUGGCUGCACUCCCUGUGUGGUCAAAACAAUGAGUUCUUUGAAUGGCUCUGUCAUCCAGACAAAGUGAGUGCACUGAAUACAUUCUUAUUCUUUUUCUUAAUUCAGCCCAGAAAUGUAACAAUUAAACACUUAUCCACUUGAUUAUAUGAAUCUCAUCAGCUACAUCAAUUCAAGUAUGAAAAUUAUAAACAAAACACUCAGCAGACUAGUGGUUUUUGAUUAUCUAGGCCUUGCACCUUACAUUUCUGGUAAUAAAUCCUCCCACCAGUGACCAGCAGAAGGAGCCAUCCAUUUGGAUCCUUGAUCCUUUUUGAGCGAUCCCUGGGUCGAGGGAUAGGG